UGUUAAAAAUUUCAUCUAUUUUUACUAUUAAAAACUGACGUAGUUAACAGAACAACCAGCAGUAACAUGUGGCAUGCCAUUGUACUUCAUAUUGAUGUCCAGGGACUAGUUUUUAAUACUAAAAUGGAUGAAAUUUUUAAUA
rfam:Gossypium hirsutum cultivar TM-1 chromosome 23, whole genome shotgun sequence